AAUGGAAUAACUGGGUCAAAUGGUGAUCCCAUUCCUAGUUUUCCAAGGAAUCUCCAUACUGCUUUACAGAUUGGCUGCACCAAUUUGCAGUCCCACCAGCAAU
rnacentral:pre_miRNA from 1 species